rnacentral:rRNA from 1 species
AACGAACGCUGGCGGCAUGCCUAACACAUGCAAGUCGAACGAGACCUUCGUGUCUAGUGGCGCACGGGUGCGUAACGCGUGGGAACCUGCCCUUAGGUUCGGAAUAACUCCCCGAAAGGGGUGCUAAUACCGGAUAAUGUCUUCGGACCAAAGAUUUAUCGCCUUUGGAUGGGCCCGCGUUGGAUUAGCUAGUUGGUAGGGUAAAAGCCUACCAAGGCGACGAUCCAUAGCUGGUCUGAGAGGAUGAUCAGCCACACUGGGACUGAGACACGGCCCAGACUCCUACGGGAGGCAGCAGUGGGGAAUAUUGGACAAUGGGCGAAAGCCUGAUCCAGCAAUGCCGCGUGAGUGAUGAAGGCCUUAGGGUUGUAAAGCUCUUUUACCCGGGAUGAUAAUGACAGUACCGGGAGAAUAAGCUCCGGCUAACUCCGUG